CUGUCAGAGGUGAAAUUCUUGGAUUUGCUGAAGACUAACUACUGCGAAAGCAUUCGCCAAGGAUGUUUUCAUUAAUCAGGGAACGAAAGUUAGGGGAUCGAAGACGAUCAGAUACCGUCGUAGUCUUAACCAUAAACUAUGCCGACUAGGGAUCGGACGGUGUUUUUAUUAUG
rnacentral:ncRNA from 1 species